rnacentral:rRNA from 1 species
AUUGAACGCUGGCGGCAUGCUUUACACAUGCAAGUCGAACGGCAGCGCGGGCUUCGGCCUGGCGGCGAGUGGCGAACGGGUGAGUAAUAUAUCGGAACGUACCCAAGAGUGGGGGAUAACGUAGCGAAAGUUACGCUAAUACCGCAUACGAUCUAAGGAUGAAAGCAGGGGAUCGCAAGACCUUGUGCUCCUGGAGCGGCCGAUAUCUGAUUAGCUAGUUGGUGGGGUAAAGGCCCACCAAGGCAACGAUCAGUAGCUGGUCUGAGAGGACGACCAGCCACACUGGGACUGAGACACGGUCCAGACUCCUACGGAGGCAGCAGUGGGGAAUUUUGGACAAUGGGGGCAACCCUGAUCCAGCAAUGCCGCGUGAGUGAAGAAGGCCUCGGGUUGUAAGACGUCUUUUGUUCUAGGGAAGAAAGGUACGUGGCGUAAUAUACCACGACUGCUGACGGUACC